ACAAGAAUGCCAACUUUAUUGUGCUCCAGGGAAGCUUAUAUAGGGAUCCUUAACUGACAGCCAUUCCCCAGCCCCUGGGAUUUCCUGCUGUAAAACCCACCAGAAACCACUCUCCUGCCAUCAGGAACUCAUGAGGGUCUCAUGCUCAGAGCAGCUGCAGGCACAGGGAUACAAGUUGUUUUGCUCAGUUCACUCCAGCAGGCAAAGUGGCUGAGGCAGGCAAAGAAAGUCAUGGAGCCAGGGGUCUACAGUCCCCAACAGAAAACUGUCACUAGAAGUGGCCUUCAAGGUUUCAAAAGCCCAAGUCAGGCCUGGUCUGUCUGUCUGUCUGUCUGUCUGUCUCUCUCUCUCUCUCUCUCUCUCUCUCUCUCUCUCUCUCAAGGGACCCACGCACUGUGGUAUGUUCCUUCUGGACACAGAUCACACCAAUUUUCAGCACAAAGAGAGAGCUGGAUCUUAGUAGUCAAUCUUAGAUUGAGGAAGUCUAGUGGCUUAGCAAGAAACAAAGGAGUGAAAUGGAGCAAGACCCUGCCAGUACCCUGUUUGAGCCUGUCAGAGGCUCUCUCUACUUUUUUACUAUCUUUAUUUCUGCGUCCUGUGGAUCAUGACACAUCUCAGCUACUGUGCCAGCACCAUGUGUUCCUGUUGUUAUGAUUUAUGGGAUGGGUGACCCUGGCAGGUCCCUGAUGGAUGAGAGACGGUAGCGGGUGGGAGACAGAUACGCCAUGUGAAGAGAGACUGGGUAUAGAGUUUAUUUAGUGGGUACUGGGAUGGGUGUAAGAGUAAGGAGAGUAUAGAGGGAAGAGAGAAAGAGAGGAAGAUCUAGAUAGUGAAAUUACCUGGUGCAAGUGAGAAUGAAGCACACAACAAACCCACUUAAGAGUUUAUUAGAGAGACACUUGUACUGACCUGAGGAUGUCGGUGUGGAGACGGCCAUCCAGCUUGUAAAGGCUGCCUAGCGCAUGCGCACAGGGGUUGACGUGGCUACGUCUUACACAGAUGACGAAGCUCACGCAUGCGUGCAAGGGCUUAUGUAGCUGCAUCAUACUUAGGCGAUGCAACCAUACUCCACAUAGCUCAUGCAGGGCCUUUUAAGGUUCUGGGGGCUGCUAAGUAUUUUGCCUGAGUGCUUGUCUGCAUAUGCGUGGCCCUGAAACCUAGAAGUGCCUGCCACCACUGUGACUGGGACUGUAAUUCUUUUGUUCAUUUGUGUCUCGUGUCCUCUUCUCAUUUUCCACCGGACAUUUUUAUCUGGUGCCGAGACUCAAGAAAUUCGUCCGCCCCAGGCCCCUGUCCCGGGGCCAGAAUUUCCAGUCUCAGGCCCCUGUCCUGGAACCCGGACCUGCCCCGGACUCCUGGGACCAGAAUCGCAACAGGGGAUUUUCUCAAAACGACCCACAUGUUCCAUCUGUCUGAUCGCGGCCCCUCCGAACAACACUGGCUUCUAAUGAAAGGAACAUCACUGAUGCCGCGACUCGACCCGGAGCCAAAAGCCGGAGCUCAGGCUUCAGGCGCUACCUGGGCCUCCAACCUCCUCCCAGGACACGAACAGAACCGAGGACCUCCUCUACAACGACCCACCUGUUCCAUCUGUCUGGGCAGGCUCCUACAAACAACACUGGCUUCUAAUCGCGAGUGUCCCCUUCCAGCCAGCUUAACCGACUCUUUUAACCCGGGAGUUGACUGGUACUUCUGGUGUUUCUAGGGUCAGGGGGGACCAGAAAGGAGAGAGCGAAAGUACCGCACUUUGCCUUUUAAAGGCCACCCCAGCGUAUGCGCACCAGAUGCUGCGUUUUGCGUCUGCACGCGGGGGCUUUUGUGUUGGAUUAUGGGUGCAUGUGUUUCUGGAAAAUGAAGUCUUCCAAGUCAGGCGGACAACGCUGUACUCUGCACCUGAGCACAGGGGCCUCCUGAGAAAUGUAAUUCCCCAGGAAAAUAACAUUCCACCCUUUUUGAUUUGUUAAAAAUUUGGGGGGUUGAGGGUCUUAAUGGGUAGGGAAUGGGAGCAUAGCCCAGUCUCUCAUAACUGCUUCCUGCUGACUUUGUGGGCAUCGAAGGGUUCGGGGUGUCCGAUACAUCCUGGUGAUCGCAUCCUGUCCGCUGGUGUCCUGUGAUGGCUGAUUGAAACCGCAUCUCUUCGAGGAGCUGGAAAACAAGUCAUGUUAGAAGAGGAAAAAAAUUAAAGGGGAGAUUUGAGGUGGGGGAGGAAAUAAAAUAAAAUUAAAU